CAAGGGGGAUCUCUAAUGUGUCUAGGAGUGAGCGUGUGUCUACCAAUUGACUGCAAGUCCUAAUGGGAAUUUGGAAAAGGAUUUUCCUGAUGAUAAAAAGUAGGAACGGAUAACAUACCUCCUUACUUCUUGGAGCCUUGUUAUAUGGGCCAUGAAGAUGUGUGGAGCUGUGGCAGCCUUCUGGAGAUGGAGAGACAGGCCUGUCAUUGAGAUGCUCGCCAGUACCAACGUCACGGAGCUGCUGACCCAACUUGCAGCUGUCUAUGUCCAGACUUAGCUUCCUAUAAGGCAUUGAUUAAGAAGAAUAUGUUCCAGACGCAUCUUGAAUUUUUCCCGCCCUGGCCAUGAAAUCAGCUGUUCUCCAAGUGAUCUUGUUUUCUUUAGUGGAGAAUCAUGUCAUAGUCAGAAACCAAGAACUGAGCACAAGACAUGUUCAUUGAUACUGGGGUAUCAUGGCUGCUAGGCCUUCCCAAUGGACAUCAGAAAUAGACACUGGCUACCCCAGAAUGUGUUUCUUGGUGAUUUCUGAUGCUUCCAUGAAUUAUACAUUGUUCAACGACUACCCAAGCCCCAACUUUAUUCCCACUAAUCUCAACCUCAAGAAUCCAUCCACAGACCAGGAGAGAGAAGAUGAACAGGUGUGUAAAGUGGGAGAUGGCUGGAAAGUCUAAACAUAUUUCUGGACCUAUGUGCAGAGUUGCCACAAAUUGAAAUCAAAUCAGGAUCCAUUAUCUA